rnacentral:rRNA from 1 species
ACUCCGCCUGGGGAGUACGGUCGCAAGACUGAAACUCAAAGGAAUUGACGGGGGCCCGCACAAGCGGUGGAGUAUGUGGUUUAAUUUGAAGCAACGCGAAGAACCUUACCAGGUCUUGACAUCCUCUGACAACCCUAGAGAUAGGGCUUUCCCUUCGGGGACAGAGUGACAGGUGGUGCAUGGUUGUCGUCAGCUCGUGUCGUGAGAUGUUGGGUUAAGUCCCGCAACGAGCGCAACCCUUGAUCUUAGUUGCCAGCAUUCAGUUGGGCACUCUAAGGUGACUGCCGGUGACAAACCGGAGGAAGGUGGGGAUGACGUCAAAUCAUCAUGCCCCUUAUGACCUGGGCUACACACGUGCUACAAUGGACAGAACAAAGGGCUGCGAGACCGCAAGGUUUAGCCAAUCCCACAAAUCUGUUCUCAGUUCGGAUCGCAGUCUGCAACUCGACUGCGUGAAGCUGGAAUCGCUAGUAAUCGCGGAUCAGCAUGCCGCGGUGAAUACGUUCCCGGGCCUUGUACACACCGCCCGUCACACCACGAGAGUUUGCAACACCCGAAGUCGGUGAGGUAACCUUUAUGGAGCCAGCCGCCGAAGGUGGGCAGAAUGGAA